GUUCCUGUAGUUAAAUUCUAUAACAACGGCUUUUCAGGCCGUAGAUCUUGGAGAAAGGCCGAGUGGGAAUU
rnacentral:tRNA from 1 species